UACCGAUGAGAAUCANGUUGGAUUCUAUCUUAAUAAUGAAAAACUUUCAGCUAGUACGAAAGGAAUUCUGAAAUCUAAUUAUUGGGAUAAUCGACUUUAUUUGCAUCAAUUUUUGUAAUU
rnacentral:rRNA from 1 species